UGGGGAAUUUUCCGCAAUGGGGGCAACCCUGACGGAGCAACGCCGCGUGCGGGAGGAAGGCCUUUGGGUUGUAAACCGCUUUUCUCAGGGAAGAAGCUCUGACGGUACCUGAGGAAUCAGCCUCGGCUAACUCCGUGCCAGCAGCCGCGGUAAUACGGAGGAGGCAAGCGUUAUCCGGAAUUAUUGGGCGUAAAGCGUCCGUAGGCGGUUAAUCAAGUCUGCUGUUAAAGGCCAGGGCUCAACUCUGGAUUGGCAGUGGAAACUGAGGGACUAGAGUUCGGUAGGGGUAGAGGGAAUUCCCAGUGUAGCGGUGAAAUGCGUAGAUAUUGGGAAGAACACCAGUGGCGAAGGCGCUCUACUGGGCCGAGACUGACGCUGAUGGACGAAAGCUAGGGGAGCGAAUGGGAUUAGAUACCCCGGUAGUCC
rnacentral:rRNA from 1 species